rnacentral:rRNA from 1 species
AGCGAACGCUGGCGGCGUGCUUAACACAUGCAAGUCGAGUGCGCAGUUCCUGUAGCAAUACAGGGGCGGGCGCACGGCGCACGGGUGAGUAACACGUGGGCAAUCUGCCCUCGGAUGGGGGAUAACCCCGCGAAAGCGGGGCUAAUACCGCAUGACAUUCCGGAGACCCCGGUCUCUGGAUUCAAAGCCGUAAGGCGUCUGAGGAGGAGCCCGCGCCCGAUUAGCUUGUUGGUGAGGUAACGGCUCACCAAGGCUUUGAUCGGUAGCCGG